rnacentral:rRNA from 1 species
UGAGGAAUAUUGGUCAAUGGUCGGGAGACUGAACCAGCCAAGCCGCGUGAGGGAGAAGGUGCUAAGCAUUGUAAACCUCUUUUGUCAGGGAACAAAGGCAUCCACGAGUGGGUGUGUGAGUGUACCUGAAGAAAAAGCAUCGGCUAACUCCGUGCCAGCAGCCGCGGUAAUACGGAGGAUGCGAGCGUUAUCCGGAUUUAUUGGGUUUAAAGGGUGCGUAGGCGGCCUGUUAAGUCAGCGGUAAAAGCCCGGGGCUCAACCCGGCGAGCCGUUGAAACUGGCUGGCUGGAGUUGGCGAGAGGUAUGCGGAAUGCGCGGUGUAGCGGUGAAAUGCUUAGAUAUCGCGCAGAACUCCGAUUGCGAAGGCAGCAUGCCGGCGCCACACUGACGCUGAGGCACGAAAGCGUGGGGAUCAAACAGGAUUAGAUACC